rnacentral:rRNA from 1 species
GACGAACGCUGGCGGCGUGCCUAACACAUGCAAGUCGAGCGGGGGGAGUUCUUCUGAACGAACCUAGCGGCGGACGGGUGAGUAACACGUGGGCAACCUGCCUUGAGGAGGGGGAUAACAGGAUUAAAGUCCUGCUAAUACCGCAUAACCCGGUGCUGUCGCAUGAUGGCAUCGGCAAAGGAGCAAUCCGCCUCAAGAUGGGCCCGCGGCGCAUUAGCUAGUUGGUGGGGUAACGGCCUACCAAGGCGACGAUGCGUAGCCGACCUGAGAGGGUGAUCGGCCACAUUGGAACUGAGACACGGUCCAGACUCCUACGGGAGGAAGCAGUGGGGAAGAUUGAACAAUGGGCGAAAGCCUGAUGCAGCAACGCCGCGUGAGCGAGGAAGGCCUUCGGGUUGUAAAGCUCUGUCUUCGCUGACGAAAUCUGACGGUAAGCGAGGAGAAAGCCACGGCUAACUACGUG